rnacentral:rRNA from 1 species
UACGGAGGAUCCGAGCGUUAUCCGGAUUUAUUGGGUUUAAAGGGUGCGCAGGCGGGGGAUUAAGUCGGCGGUGAAAUUCUGCAGCUCAACUGUAAAAUUGCCGUUGAAACUGCCGGUCUUGAGUGCAGAUGAGGUAGGCGGAAUGCGUCGUGUAGCGGUGAAAUGCUUAGAUAUGACGCAGAACUCCGAUUGCGAAGGCAGCUUACUGGGAUGCAACUGACGCUGAGGCACGAAAGCGUGGGUAUCAAACAGGAUUA